GUGGGGAAUCUUGCGCAAUGGGCGAAAGCCUGACGCAGCAACGCCGCGUGCGGGAAGAAGGCUCUCGGGUUGUAAACCGCUUUCAGAAGGAACGAAACUGACGGUACUUUCAGAAGAAGGUGCGGCCAACUACGUGCCAGCAGCCGCGGUGACACGUAGGCACCAAGCGUUGUCCGGAUUUAUUGGGCGUAAAGAGCUCGUAGGCGGUUCAGUAAGUCGGGUGUGAAAACUUUGGGCUUAACCCAAAGCCUGCAUCCGAUACUGCUGUGACUUGAGUACGGUAGGGGAGCGGGGAAUUUCUAGUGUAGCGGUGAAAUGCGCAGAUAUUAGAAGGAACACCGGUGGCGAAGGCGCCGCUCUGGGCCGUAACUGACGCUGAGGAGCGAAAGCGUGGGUAGCAAACAGGAUUAGAAACCCCAGUAGUCC
rnacentral:rRNA from 1 species